rnacentral:lncRNA from 1 species
UUUUUUUUUUUUUUCUUAGAUAUGAUAAAAUCAUAACAUUUGUCGACAUUUACAUACUUGGUUUCAAUAAAAAAACGCACAAAAAUUUGUGUAAGCAUUGUCAACAGCUCCUAGACUGAUAUCUUCGUUUAUUGUGAAGUAUUGCAGAAAGGACAAAAACCAAAGUGAUACAGUCACAAACAAUAUAUUAUAAUUUCGAGUUUUAAGGCAUCCACCCCUGGCCAUCAAUUAUGAUAAUUAAUACUAGUAGUUAGUAUACCUUAAAGUGGAGUAAUGCAAAAAUUUCUCCCCUUCAUCAACAAAAAAAAAAAGAUAUUCGUUAGAAGGAAGACAUGAGUUUUAAUAAAAUUGUUAAAAUUAUUAUAAAUAGAGUAAAAAUAUAAUUUAUAGGGAUGGUGUUUUUUAAAAAAAAUAUUUAUUAAUUAAAAAAUAAAAUAUAAGUAUAAUUUAUAAUUAAAUAUAAGAAAUAAAGUAUGAUGCGAUGGUUCAAAAAUGGGUAAAUGUCACUUUUUGUCCCAUCGUUUGGCCAAAUUAUCAAUUAUGUCUCAACUUUCCGAUAAUAUCUAAUUGGUACCAAAUCUAUCAAUUUUUUUUUAAUUGUGUCCCGUAAAAAUUUUCCAGCAUUCGGAAUUGACGUGGAACGUCGGAGUUUGAUUACGUGGACUUAUUAAUCCACUUGGAAUUGCCAGCUAUAUUAUACUUAAAAAAGAAAAGAAAAAAAAUGAAAGAAACAUAGCUCCUGCUGUAGAUCGGACUAGGAGAGAGAUGGUGAAGGUAGCGGCGGAGAAAGAGAGGUGAAGGCGGUGGCGUUCGCCGACUGGGGUAACCUCUGCAAGUUUUACACCAGUAGGCAAAUUCCAGAGCACAGAAUGAUGCAUGCCAUGGAGGCCCAAGUUACGUUGUAUAUGUGGGCUGAUUUAAUCAAGUUUUUUAUUUUAUUAUUUUCGUGGGUUAUAUUAGGGUGGCUGAAAUUGGACCUUAGUUGAGUCAGUUUUGAGUUUUAUACCUUGUUUUGACUAAGAAUUUGUUUCCUUAUUAGAUAAUUAGGAGCUUUUUCCAUGUUUAUUAUCCUAGUUUGGUUAGGUUUUCGCAUACCCUAUAUAUAGGGCUUGUUAUGCACGAAAAUUGGAGAUCAUGAACAUUAUUGUUAUUUAUCAAAACUGUGAGUUUUAUUCUCUCUUGAGAGUUUUCGAAUUCUUCUUGAAAUUCCAAGUUGAAUUAAUCUAUUGGCGUAACAGCGAGUCAACCAACCCUCGUCGGGUGUCAUUCAUCGUUCCCGAGUUGCUGCGUCAACAUCACGUUGGAGUAUAGGGAUUCCAUCGCCUAUAUCAUUCUGUGGGUUAGAUUCAGAGGUUUUGGGAUCUUCCAUUAUCUAUCGUUCGUUUAUCAAGUCUUCCGUUUGCGUGCUCGUUUGAACGGUCUUGCAAGGAUCAUAUCACAAAAUCCCGCAACCAUUGCAACGGAAGCCUACAUCACAAUAUUUCAUGGGUGCUUUUCUGAAGAGAGAAAUGGUGUGCUCUGGAUUACCUCCACCGUUCUAGAAUCGGCGUUGUUGAAGAAAAAGUACCGUCGCCGCUGGAAACGGGAUUGACGAACCCUUGAAACUCCUCAACCUCAUCCUCCCCUUCAUCCACCACAGACUCCCGAAUAGGAUUGAAUUUCGGCGUGAGCAAGGGCUCAUCAUCGGCAUAAACCGCUGUGUCGCACCUUUUAUUGAUUUUAGGGCUACAGAGAGGGGCGGUGGCGGGAUUGAUUCAGACAAUCUUCUCAUCUUUUUGGCGAUUUUGUUGCGUGUGGAUGGCGAGCAGAGGGACGUCCUUCCAAACGGCAGCGCGGACAGGCAGAUGAGUGCGCUCUGCUUCCCGACAUGGGCGGCAAUGCAGGGGAAGUGGAAGGCAUGGCCACACUGUGGAUAGGCGCGGCGUGUUUUUGAGGAUAGAGAAAGGGGAUCUAGGAGAAGACGUCGCCGAGCUGAAGCAGAUUCUGGAAUGAGUUCUCAGCGUGGAAUUGCUAGUUUUGCAUUCCAGCUUGGGAUUCAUCACAUCAAUCUUGUUAUUCUCUAUACUCUUGCAACGCAAACGAGGAGUGAAAGGAUUGCUUCUAUUGGCUCUCUACUUAUCCGACUCCGGCGGCGGCGGCGAUGCUUCUGUGUUUGCUCUCUCUGUUGCGGCCGAUGUCAGGCCAGCGACGCAGUUGGCCGGACUUCAGACGACGUUGAUGGGUUGCAGGCGGUGGAAAGGGCUGCGGAAAACCCUAGUUGAGAGAUGAUGACCAAGAGCUAUAUUGCUCUAUUUUUUUUCUUUUUUUUAAGUAUAAUAUAGCUGACAAUUUCAAGUGGAUUAAUAAGUCCACGUAAUCAAAUUUCGGCGUUCCACAUCAACUCUCGGGUGCCGAAAUUUUUUUACGGGACACAAUUAAAAAAUAGUUGAUAGGUUGGAUACUAAUUAGAUAUUAUCGGAAAGUUGGGGCAUAAUUGAUAAUUCGGCCAAACGAUGAGACAGAAAGUGACAUUUACCCGUUCAAAAAGUGAAAUAAAACUCUUUUUUUGUGGAAAAAAAGAAAGAUAAGUAAAACUCUUUUCGUGAAUAGAGAAAGUAAUAGUUAUAAUAUUAAUCUAUUAAUUAUAGUUUUUCUCCUAAUACUAUUAUUAAUAGUAUUGUACUUUGGUACUAUAAACCUUGCAAUAACUAUUCAUUUAAUUUGCUAUUUCUUUUAAGAUGAACUAAAGAACACGUGUCGGUGGAUUCGAAUUUAAGAUUUUAAAUCUCAAAUAUUAUGGUGUUUGGUUGAGGUUAUAAGUUUUUUAAAACAACUUAUAAGUUCAUUCAAAGUGUUUGAUAAAAAUAAGCUCUUAAAUAACUUAUAAGCUGUAAAAAUAAGUUUCAAGAGUAUAAAAACUCUCAAAAAAUAAGUUUUUCUAUCUCAACUUUUUUUUAAUAAUUUUAUAUGCAACAAUAAUUUUACAAAUAUGAUUUAACAAUGAUUUGUUAUUUUCAUCGCUUACCCUUCUAAAUUGAUCUCUUUUCAAUUUUCUCCAUUUAACAGAGAUUGUAUUUCUUUAUCUUAUAAGCUCAAUUAUCCAAACACUUUGACAACUUAUAAGCUAUUAAUAAGCUACAUCUUAUAAACUCUUGAAACAUCUUAUAAGCUUUUGGCGCUUAUAAACUCUUUGAAAUAAUCUUGGUUAAACACCUUCUAACUAUACUACCACUAAACCAACACACACAUUAAAACUUUUAAAAGAUCGAGUAACGAUUGAUUCGAAUCUGAGAUCUUUAGCCUCAAAUAUUAAUCACACAAACACCAAAUAAUUGUUUAUAUUAUUAUUAUUAUUAUUAUUUGAAAUGUGCAUGAUAGUAUAGUAUCGAUUUUUUUAAGCAGGAGUAUAGUAUCGAUUUAUUUGUGAUUUAAUUGAGUUACCACGUGCGUUUAAACUUAAUACGUAUAGUAGCCAAAUGCGACUAAACAAACUUAUUAGACUGGCGAAAUCUGAUUACGUCUUUCAACAAAAUUAAUUUAUUAGCACAUUUUUCUUGUGCUCAAACAGUAUUGUACAAUAUUAUCAUAUUAUUAAUAUUGAAAGUUUUGUUGGUUUUCCAAAUAUAGAAAUAUUUGAUAGAAUCAAUUCAAUAUUAUCGUAUGAAGAUAAAAAAAUAAUAUAAAAUAAAGUACGCAUAAUAAAAUAAUUUUAUACUACAAUAUUAAUUAAUUGUAAUUGUAUGUAUGUUCUAAAAAUCAAUUUUAUAAUAAAGAUAUAUGAAUCCAUUGAAUAUAAUUCUUCUUAUUGAGUGAUAUUGAAUCCCUUCUAAUGUUGUCAGCAAUUAAUGCUAACAACAACUAGACUUUUAAUCAAGUUAUUCUAUGAAUUACAAACAUGCAAACAUACCAACUAGCCUUAACAUACGAGUCUCCCGCUCAAGAUAUAUUAUCCACACAAGUCUCCCACUCAAAGUGUGAUUUGAACUAGAUGUUUUUUUUCCACAUGUAUUUUUCAUUUUAAUUUUUUUUAGAUAUUUUUUCCAUAUGUCACAAAAGUGCCACCAUGUUAAUUUUCGGCUGCUACCUCAUCAAUUUCGGCUGCCACAGUGGCAUUUCCGGCGCCGGUGUAAGUAAAAAUCGGUCACCGGACAAAUUUGAGACAAAAAUGAAAGGUUAGGUAUUUAAAAGUAGAAAAAUAAAUUAGGUGCAAAAACCAAUUCGGUGUAAACGUUAUGAAUUUACAGGCAAUUACCCCUGUAAUAUAUUUAAAUUUCUUUUAUUUUUUAAUUUAAAGUUCUCUUUUUCCUGCUUACUUCUUUUCCCUCUCGGGUUUCUGUAAACAGGUUUUUUGAGGCUCGGCCCUUAGUCUGCUGUCUGUGCUUUCAAGGGCUUUUGGUUCUCCUCUUUUUUCGUUUUUAUAUACAACCGCAUUUUAUAUUUAAUUAUAUAUCGCACGUACGACUGUGGAACUCUGUUGAAGUUAAUAAUAGUCCAUUUUCUAUUUAUCAAGUUGCAUGUUAACUAUGCAAUAGACAUUGGUCUCGCUGGAUUAAUUAAAGUCCAUUUUCCGUGAUUAAAAGUUAAUCGGAAAAAAUCAUACAUGACUGAUUGAGUCGUCGCACGCCGUCGCAAGCCGCCGCCGCCCGUCGUCUGCUCCAGUCAGGAAAUGACUUCGGAAACGUAAGGUGAAACUGCUCGAAGACGAUUGGCAAAUAGCUGCUCGAUCCGGCGGAAGAUGAAAUCGCUGCUCUGUCGCAGAUUUCUCGCCGCCGAUCUGUCUAUCAGCUCGCCGCCGAUCUGUUGAUUUUGCUCGCUGCGAAUCAGCCGAAAAGCUCAGUUUUUUCGGUGAGUUUUUGGUGCCUUUUCCGUGGUCGGACUUGUGUGUUGCUGCAAUUAAGUUCGGUAUUUCCUCAUUCGGUUUUGCUGUUCUUGUUCAAUUUUGAUUGGGCUUGUUUGAUUGGGAUUGUUAAUUAGUUGCCGAUUUGCUGUUCUGAUUUGUUAAAUAGAUGCCAUCUAUUUAUGAUCUCAUAUGUAAAUUGUUAGAGUUUAAGUGCGUGCGGUUUGCGCAUCAGUUACUAUUAUUUGCAGUCCUCUUUGCGUGGCCUUGUUUCACCGUGCAGAUAAAGUGCUCGACGAUUUUUGUAAGAGAAGCCCAUCUUCUGUUGUCCAAGAAGGGAUUUCUUUGGAUGACAUGAGCACAUCGCCUGCUACCAUGGCUUCCGAUUUUCCUUCGAUCUCCAACAACUUUGUAAGGACUAUGCCUGCUUCUUCCGGUAAGAACCAAACUCGGCCCUCGGACGUUCCCUCGAGUUCCACCCUUAAACCCGCUUCUGAGAACAGCAAGAGUCAUUCCGAAGCUCUUGUCAACUCGACGCUGCAUGGAAUAUCUAGCCCUGGCGCUGAGGCGAAAAGGAACAAACUCUCUUUUGCGCGAACGGUCCAGCGAUCAGUUCCUAAACCAGCAGAUGUUUUCGCCCAGGACUUCAACGCUCUUCACCCGGUAAACAUUGGCAACAAAUCUAUUCUUCGGAUCCCAGAAGCCCUGUAUCAAAGUAAACUCAAGGAGUUUGAGUUCGCUGUUUACGCCAGGCUUUUGCUGAAUAAGGGAGACGCCCCCAGAUUUGCUUCUGACAUUAAAUAAGAACUCAUGGCUUUAUGGAAAAUCUCGGAUGCGAUCCGUGUGGUGCCACUAGGGAAAGGUUUCUUUUCGAUAAUUUUCGCGAAUGAAUAUGAGCUUGCUACGGCAAAAUCUAGGGCUACUUGGAAAUUAAACAAAGGUAUUAUUCGAAUAAGGGAAUGGGUUCCGGAUUUUGACCCAUACAAAGAAUCAUCUGCUCUCUCCCAAGUCUGGCUAAGAAUCUAUUAUCUUCCUCACGAAUACUGGCAUCCGGAAGUGAUAAUCGGCAUCGCCAGAUAUGUCGGUCUUCCUAUUAAACUUGAUGGUUUUGCGUUUUCGGGCCAAGUGGGUCACUUUGCUCGUGUUCUUGUCGACNUAGAUGCAAUCUAUGCUUGGUGGACAAGAAAAUCAUGGCUAAGAACGUAGGGUAUGAACGUGGCAGCUGGAAUUAUCUUUAAGCCAAAGUUUGUGUAUCGGUUAAGAAAAUAACCAAUCCAACAUCCAUAAACAAUAGGGAGAUCUGAUUUGUUUCUUCUCCUUCUUUCUUUAUAGAAUUCGAAAAUUUCCAUUAGUUCUCUUAAAAAAUAAAUAAAUGAAGAAGAUAAAAUUAAAAAUUUAUUCAAAAAUAAAUAAUUAAUUAUUAGAGUUAAAAUAACUCUUACAAAUAUGGAUGGAUGAAUUUACUUACUAGAGAUAGAUUAAGAUUCCUCAAAACAAAAAUAUAUUUCCUAAUUUGUCAGGUUCUUCCUGUGUAUCAUUUUUAUGUAUCUUAUUAUACGUCAUAUAUAUCUUUAUAUAGUAUAUUAUUAGAAAUAUUUUACUUUAAUAAAGAUAAAUUAGUUAGUUAGUACUCUAUUUAUCUAUAAAAAAUAGUCAUAGAAGAGUACGUCACAUGUUUUAAUAAAAAUAAUUGAGUGUAUUGUGAGUGGAGAUCAUUUAAAAGAUAGUGUUAAUAAUAAUUAAUUAUAUUGUGAAUGGAAAAAUGAUCCAUCAUUUGGUAGAAAAUGGUUGAAAAUAACAAGAGACUAAUUUGUAUGCAUGUUUCAAAAUGGUAAAAAAAAAAUAUUUUUGUGGAUGAAAUGAGUAUAUGAUAUUGUGCAUUUCUGUUAAUGGGUAAAAAUGUUCAUAUUUAUAACUUCUAAUUAAAAAUACCCUCUUUUAUAAGAAACUUGAUCUUAUGCUCAAAUUAAACCGAAGAGUCGAAAUUGCCAUUGGAUUUGAUGGGUUUGCCCACUUUUUCUAUGUAAGAAAAGUGUAAGAAAAAAUUAUAUGAUGUCGGAAAAGUAGGUUGCCGCCCGGACGGCAACCUCCUUUUUCGACCGACAAGCUAUUUUUUUUAUUGAAAUUUUUAAUUUGCUACAAAAAACAGUAAGUCGUCAGCUGAAAAAGUAGGUUGCCGCAACCUUCGGGCGGUAACCUACUUUUACAUUGAUUGAGACAUUAAAGAUAAUUUAGUCAAUUUAAGCAUAAACACAAUAAUUUUAUAAAAACGAAUAUUUUUUAUUACUAUAAUUUAAUAAAAGUGGAAAUUUUUAAUUUUCACUCCCGUGUUAACAAAUCAAAGGUGCAUUAGUAUACCAUUUGAAUCUGGAAAAUCCGGAUAUGUAGAGACACUAUUUACACAUUACGAAUAUUUAAACUUUGAAAUUUUGAAUGACAAGAAGAGCGUGAUCGAUUUUUCAGUUAAUAAAAAUCGAGAUUCCAGCAUUAAGUCAAAAAUCGAAUAUUUUAAUUUGAUUGGCUUUAAUCCGAAAAGUCCGUAUAAUUUUUCGAGGUGCCCUAAAUUAAAUCCGCAAUCUGCCCGAAAACGCAGAAAGUUGGUGCCCGGAAUCCUGCGGGCAGCCCAAACUCCAAUACCUUUCCUACUUUUCAUCGCUUGUGUCCCCUCCGUUCCACUAUCAUCACACAUUCACUCCCAACAGCAGCGCCACCACCACGCCGCCCUUCCUCCGCCGUGGUGGGUGGCCGAUCGUGAAUGCGAGUCUCGGAAAAUGGGGCAGGGCCUCAGCUGCAGUGAGCUCGAAGACACUGAGCUGUUCAACGCAGUUCAAAACGGAGAGGUCGACACCGUCCAAGCGCUUGCCGCCCAAGACCCAAUUUGUUGACGCUCAAAACCGUUCACGGACGCCUCUCCGCGCUCCACGUGGCAGCUGCGAACGGGCGGGUGGAGGUGCGCUUCUUUCGUCUCUCUCACUUUUGUUGCUUGAUUGGCGUCGCCAUGCUUUCUCGAUUGUGUUUCGAGACCAGAGAGUUGUUUGAUUUGUCUGAAUUUUGCGUUUUUCUGUUAGGUACUCUCUGUUCUUUUAGAUCGGUUUGGGAAUCCAGAUAUCUUGAAUCGGCACAAACAGGUCUCAUAUAAUUGUCGAUCGUUUUCUUACGAGUUCUGUUUUUUGGUCAUUUUUUCGGCCAUCGUUAUUUUAAUUAGUUAAGUUUGAUUCGAAUUCAGUGUUCUCUUCUGUUUACUAAAUAUGGAAAUUGUUGUUUGUGUGUUGUUAUUUGCUUAGACUCCAUUGAUGUUAGCUGCAAUUCAUGGCAAGUCCUCGUGCGUGGAAAGGCUUAUUCAAGCAGGAGCUAAUGUACGACAACUUUUCAUUUCUUUUUUCAUUUUUUAUUUUUUGUGUUUGAAAAGAUGCAUUUAUUUUGGUGGUGUUAUUUGCAGGUUUUGUUGUUUGAUACAUUAUGUGGGAGAACCUGUUUGCAUUAUGCAGCUUAUUAUGGUCACUCAGAUUGCCUCCAAUUGAUCCUUUCCGCUGGCAAUUCUACCCCUGUUGCUCAAUCUUGGUAAGUCUCUAUUUUUCACGGAUUUUGUCUUGAAUUCCAACUUUUUUAUGUGUGUGUUUGUUUUAUCAGUUUAUUCUUUGGAUUGCUUUGUGGGUCAGGGGAUUUUCAAGAUUUGUUAAUAUAAGAGAUGGCAGUGGUGCAACCCCGUUGCACUUAGCUUCCCGGCAAAGGCGCUCAGAAUGCGUUCACAUUCUAUUAAGCAGCGGGGCGCUGGUUUGUGCUUCCACUGGUGGAUAUAGGUAUCACUUAGUCUCAUUUUCACUAGCUCUUUGAGAGUGUUUCAGUAUAAGUGACUGAUGUGAUUGCAGCUAUCCUGGUAGCACACCUCUGCAUCUGGCUGCUCGCGGAGGCUCAUUGGACUGUGUUCGGGAAUUGCUUGCCCGCGGUGCUGAUAGACUUCAAAGAGAUUCUUCUGGGUGAGGAAUGCAUAUCCUUCACUAUGAAAUGCAAAUUAAUGUUUUUGUGAACCUUGAUCCAAUUCUUUAAAGAGCAAUCAAUGUUUAUACAAAGAGUUGCUAGAGCUGUUUGGAUAGAAUGUUUGGGUGAAGCUUAAACUGAACACGUAGUUCGAUCUUAAACUGAAACCUCGUCUAAUUCUUUCCUUUGGCUGCCUUUAUUGUGUGUGUGCAAUUGAUACAUGCAGUCGGUUCUAUCAAUAUCCUGCUGCCUCUGUCUAAGUGAAAGCUCGAUUAAAUGAUAUGGUGUCUCUGCAGGAGAAUACCGUAUAUGGUUGCUGUGAAGCACAAACAUGAUGCGUGUGCUGCUUUGUUGAACCCUUUGGCCCCAGAGCCUCUAACUUGGCCAUCACCAUUGAAGUUCAUUAGUGAGCUCAAUCCCGAUGCAAAAUCCUUGCUGGAGAAAGCCCUGAUCGAAGCCAACAAAAAGAGAGAAAAGGCAAUCUUGACCGAAACACCAUGUACUGCUCAACCACUCCCAGAUUCCGUAGGAAUUGAUGAUGAAUUUGAGGUAAAUAAGAUGACUAAACACUACAGUGAAUUUGACAUUGUACUUGCUCAACUUCAUAAAUGGCUUGUUGAAAUACCCUUAUGCUAAUCCAGUAUGGUAUGCAGGAGAAAAAAUAAACUCAAAAUUAAUAAGAGAAACGGCAAAACUAUAUAAAAGACGCAUUGCAUUUAAAUAGGAUAUCUUAGUUCUUGUAAAGCCUAUUAUACAGAAGGUUUCUCUGAAGCUAUUUCAAUAUGGUUUUAGUGUUAAGGGUGUUUGACAUACAAUGCAGGGUGGAGAUGCGGAGCUAUGCUGCAUUUGCUUCGAGCAGGUGUGUACAAUUGAGGUGCAAAACUGCAGUCAUGAGAUGUGUGCCCAUUGUGUUCUAGCCCUCUGCUGUCACAGCAAACCUAAUUCCUCUUCCAAGAUUCCUGUCUGCCCCUUCUGCCGAAGCAGCAUCACUCGACUAGCUGUCGCCAAGACCAAAAUCGACACCAAAAUCGAGUUGGAGCCUACUACUGCAAAGCCAAGAACAAGAAUAUCAGUUAAUCUUGGUGAAGGGAGCAGCAGCUUCAAGAGUUUGUCGUCGCUGAGCUCGUUUGGGAGGUUAGGACGCAGCUCCGGGAAGGUUGCUGCAGAAUGCAACCACGAGACCCAUAAGCCAUGAUACCGUCUUCCAUUGACUCCAACGUCACUUGAGAAGUAAAUAACCAAGAACCUGCACAUCUAAUAUGAGGUAUUUUUCAACCGGAAUAGAAUUUGAGGAGCAAAAUUGUUGAGCUCGUAAUUACCUCAUCAUUUCAAUUAGUUGCUUAAUAUAAGUUCAUUUUGUACUAAUAUCUGAUGACAAGAUUUGAAAAUUUGAUGGGCAUUUCUACUGAAUUUACUUGAGUCCGGCUUAGAAAAACCAGAUCAUUGAUGUCUAAAAAUACGAUUAGGGAAUGAACAAUACAGGCAUGGAAAAUGGAUCUCCAAAUCUUACUUUCGUCUCUUAUAGCAUAGGGAUCUGUUGAAAAUAUUGAAACAAUAUAAAGAAAUGUCAUAGACGAUGAAGGAGAAGGAGAAGGAGAAGGAGAAGGAGAAGGAGAAGAGAAAACUUGAGAUAAAUCUGGUUUACAAAAAAAAAAAACUUGAGAUAAAUCUUUUGAAGACUACUGUGUAAAAAGUAAUUACAAAAGUCAAAAUACAAGAAGUGAUGUAUACUCUUAAUAAACUAACUAGCAACUAAUCUAAGCAAAAUAACAACUAAUUCUAACAAUCUGCACUUAUUAGUUUUUUUUUCUUUUACAUUUUAACAGGAUCUUUGCAGGUUUCUUGUUUGUCUCGACCAAUGUAGUGAAUUUUGAAAGCUGAUGUGGAUAGAUGAAUCUCAGAGAAUACUUUAUACUUCAAUAACUGGCUCGAAUUGACUAAUUGUGGGAAAUGUUCUAACGAAAGUGAUAAAGAAAAUCUAAGUUACUGAAAAGUUCCGACAAAGCUGAGAGAGAGGAUAAAAGGAGCACAUUUUUUCAUUUUUAUUUAAUUGUAUUUUAAAUAAAACUAGUAUUACUCCCGUGCGAUGAAAAUGAAAAUAAAACAAAAUUAUAUUUUAGAAUAUUAUAGUAUGUGAAUAUAGUAGCAUGAAAAUGAAGAUGAAACCAUCUUAUAGUUGGUGAUAAAAAAAAAUUAUAUUUUAAAAUAUUAUAUUUAGAAUGAAGAUAGUAGCCUUAAAAUAAAAAUGAAAUCAUCUUAUAAUUAGAGACAUAUCAAAUGAAUGACCAAGAACUUGACAAAACCCUUUUAUCUAAUGAUUAUUAUUAUCUAUUUAAAAUUUCCACCAAAAUAUCUAGAUAUUUUUCCUUUCAAAUUUUCUAUUGGUCUUGAAAGGGUUUUUGGAACUUUUAAUUACUUUUUACUUAUUUUUAUUUUACAAUAUAUUUUUUGAGGCGUUAAUUGAUUGUAAAUCCAAAAAUUAUUAGUGAAUUUUGAUAUAUUUUUUUAGCUAUAUAAAGUUGUAGUAUAAAUACAUAAACAUUAGCUCAUUUCAGAAUUUGCCCUGAAUUUUAAUUUCGUCCAAAUCAUAACAUACAUGAAAAAAUUUAAGAUGAUAUAAUAUAUACACAUUAUAUUAAAGGGUUAACAUGCAAAAACACCCCUAACGUUACCACCCCAACUACACUUAAGCCCCUUACAUAACGUUGAUAGCAACUAACACCCCAAAGUUCAUUAAGUACUACAAUUAAACCCAUAAACAAAAUUUCUUUCACAAAAUUAAGAAAUUCAUUUUUUAAAAUUUAUAUAAUAUAUAAAAGGGGAGUUUUUCCCUCCAUUUUUUUUCUCUUUCUUCUCCCAUCAAUUUUUCAUAUAAAUAAAUAUUUUCAUACACAGACAAAAAUAAAAGAAUUAUAAAAUUUAACUAAAGAGAAAGAAAAUAAUAAUAUUUUAAAAUUUUAAGUAACGUAUUUGUUUUAAAUUUAUUUUUAAUAAUUUUAUACCAUAUUAAUAUUGGUUACAAACUUAAACAUAAGAUGCUUAUUAAAUAUUUCUUCAUAAAUUAAAUUUGAUAUUAUUUAAAAAAGUAUUAAAAUUGUAAAAGAAAAAAGAGAUGAAAAAUAAUGAAAAAAUUGAUGGGAGAAAAGAGAAAAAAAAUAGGUGGGAAAAAAUGGAGGAAGAAAACUCCUCUUUUAUAUAUUAUAUAGAUAUAGAUUAUCCUUUUAGGACCACGAGCAAUAGUACACAACUACACAUUAAUAAAUAAUUUAUAACUGUUACUUAAUAUUUAUAAGUUAUAAUUUUAUUUGUAUGAUAACAUAUUAAUAAAUUUACUCAUAUAGCAAUGCAUACGUUAAUCUUUGUUGGGGAAAAACAAAAACUGAAAUUAAACUACUUACUCAAAUAAUAACAGAAGCAUAGAACAGUCUCUUGCUUCAGCAUAUGGUUACCAAAAAAAAAAAGCUCAAACACUAUUUUGAUGCUAAAUAUAUAGCAUAUAUAGACAUUUGUGGUCAAAUUACGCACAUUAAAAAAAGUUCAGUAUUGAAAGGAAACAUGCAUUAUAAGUAGGGAUAUGAGUGAAUGGGUAUUACCCAAAUCAGAAUCAGAACCGUUCAUUACCCAUUGAGCUAUAAAGCAACGAUUCUGGUUCUGAUUCUAGACCCUACCCGCUCAGACCCAGAACCUAAUUGGUCCAGACCCAAUUUGAUCCGUUUGUUCUGGAUCCGGUCCGACCCGACCCAUAAACUUUUCUUUUGGUUUUUUUACAAGUCAUGUUUUUUUGCCCCCCAUCCCAAGUCAAUUUUUUUUUCAAAAAUCUAAUUUUCUGACCGCUUUCUACCACCCACCCCCAAGCCAAUUUUUUUUUCUUUCAAAAAUCUGAUUUGAUAAUGGGUAUUAUCGGGUCCAUGGGUCUUAUCAGAUCCAUGGGUAAUUAACCUACCCGGACCAUUUUAUUUUAUCACUUAAUGGGCCGGUUCUGGUCUGGAUCCAAUAAGCAAUGGAUCGGUUCUGGAUCUGGAACCGUAAUAAUUUUAACGGUUCUGGUCCGGGUAAUACCCACCCAUUGACAUCCCUAAUUAUAGGUAUGAGAUAUAUACUAAAAUUAUAUUGAAUUUUAAUUUUUUUUUAUGAUACAUCAUACUCCCUCCGUCCGCCAAAAGUAUUCCACUUUGGCCGGGCACGGAGUUUAAUAAAAUGUGUGAUGAUGUUGAUGUAGUGGUGAAAGGGCCCCACCACUUUAUGAGAUGUGUGAUUGAGAUUGAAUUUGGGGUGAGUUUUUUGUAAAUAAAGAGUAUUUGUAAGGAUAAAAUGUAUAAAGGUGGAUGGUGGGACCAUGGCUUAAAAAAGAAAGUGGAAUACUUUUUGCGAACGUCAAAUAUAGUAAUUGUGGAAUACUUUUGGCGGACAGAGGGAGUAUUAUGAUAUUUAACAUACUAAAAUUAGCUGUGAUAAGUUUGAAGUCCAAACUAUGAUAAAGUGCUUAGGCAAAAACUAAAAGGUCAAGGUCUCGGAUAAUUAUAAGGUCUCGGUUUAGGGAUUCAUUAUAAGUCUUAAUGAAUCAAAAAAUCUGCGCUGCUUGCCUUUUGUGGAGUUCUCUUCAUUUGAUAUCUUCAAAUCCAUAAGAUCUCUCCUUUAAUUUGCUCUCGAAGUAACAUAUUUUUCCUAUUUACCCUUUUAAAAUCCUACAUAAUAGUUCCACAUUGUUCUCCUACCUUCAUGCAUUCCACUUUUUAAAUACUUCAAAGCAUUCCAUGAGUUGUUGCUACUGGUACUCCAUGUCAAAUCUGCAGACGUUAAGCAAAGAUUCCAGUUUUAGAANUUUUUAUUGAUGCAUCAAUUAUGAUAUUUAACAUACUACAUUAGCUAGCAAUAAAUUUGAAGUCCAAACUAUGAUAAAGUGGUUAGGCAAAACAUAAAAAGUCAAGGUCUCAGAUAAUUAUUCACACUCAGGUUUAGGGAUUCAUUAUAAGUCUUAAUGAAUCAAAACCUGCGCGUCUACCUUUUGUGGAGUUCUCUUCAUUUGAUAUAUUCAAAUCCAUAAGAUAAGAUCUCUCCUUUAAUUUCCUAUCGAAGUAACAAAUUUUCCUAUUUAUCCCUUUAAAAUCCUACAUAAUAGUUCCACAUUGUUCUCCUACCUUCAUGCAUUCCACUUUUCCUCUCCACUACUUAAAUACUUCAAAGCAUUCCAUGAGUUGUUGCUAUUGGUACUCCAUGUCAAAUC